AUGGUCUUUAAGUUAGACUUCAGAAAAGCUUUCGAUUCAGUAGCAUGGCCUGCCCUCGACAAAAUCCUGGCAGUCCGCGGGCUCUCACUUCUCUUCCGCAGUUGGAUACAAAAUCUUCUCCACACAGGCAAAACGACAGUACUUUUGAACAGGAUCCCGGGCAAAUGGAUUCAAUGCAAAAAUGGGCUGAGGCAAGGGGACCCAGCCUCUCCCUACCUCUUCCUCAUCGUAGCCGAUCUUCUUCAGCAGCUCAUCCUCCAGAACUCUGACCCGUCCCUCCACCACCCCAUCUUCUCCCACCUGCCUCCCACUGUCCUCCAAUACGCCGAUGACACGCUCAUCGUCGCAGCUGUCUCUCCCUCCGCCGCCUCAACCCUUAAAGUUCUCCUAAACAAUUUCGCACACGCCACGGGCCUCGCCAUCAACUUCUCCAAAACUACCCUAGCCACUCUACACACAGACGAUAACACGACCACGUCCAUCGCCCUCGCCAUGGGGUGUUAA
rnacentral:rRNA from 1 species